rnacentral:rRNA from 1 species
CCUACGGGAGGCUGCAGUGGGGAAUAUUGGACAAUGGGGGAAACCCUGAUCCAGCGACGCCGCGUGAGUGAAGAAGUAUUUCGGUACGUAAAGCUCUAUCAGCAGGAAAGAAAAUGACGGUACCUGACUAAGAAGCCCCGGCUAACUACGUGCCAGCAGCCGCGGUAAUACGUAGGGGGCAAGCGUUAUCCGGAUUUACUGGGGGUAAAGGGAGCGUAGACGGCAGCGCAAGUCUGGAGUGAAAUGCCGGGGCGCAACCCCGGAACUGCUCUGGAAACUGUGAAGCUGGAGUGCAGGAGAGGUAAGCGGAAUUCCUGGUGUAGCGGUGAAAUGCGUAGAUAUCAGGAGGAACACCGGCGGCGAAGGCGGCUUACUGGACUGUAACUGACGUUGAGGCUCGAAGGCGUGGGGAGCAAACAGGAUUAGAUACCCCGGUAGUC